UCCCCGUUAUCCGGGGCAGUCUCAUUAGAGUGCCCAACUGAAUGCUGGCAACAUGGGACAAGGGUUGCGCUCGUUGCGGGACUUAACCCAACAUCUCACGACACGAGCUGACGACAGCCAUGCAGCACCUGUGUGUCGGCUCCCUUUCGGGCACGCCUCCGUCUCGAGAGGCUUCCGACCAUGUCAAGGGUAGGUAAGGUUUUUCGCGUUGCAUCGAAUUAAUCCACAUCAUCCACCGCUUGUGCGGGUCCCCGUCAAUUCCUUUGAGUUUUAAUCUUGCGACCGUACUCCCCAGGCGGUCGACUUCACGCGUUAGCUGCGGUACUAAGGAAGUCUCCUUCCCCAACACCUAGUCGACAUCGUUUAGGGCGUGGACUAC
rnacentral:misc_RNA from 1 species